GUGUCAGCAGCCGCGGUAAUACGAAGGGGGCAAGCGUUGUUCGGAUUUACUGGGCGUAAAGGGCGCGUAGGCGGAUUUGCAAGUCAGAGGUGAAAGCCCUGGGCUCAACCCGGGAAUGGCCUUUGAGACUGCAAGUCUUGAGUGCGAGAGAGGGUGGCGGAAUACCCAGUGUAGAGGUGAAAUUCGUAGAUAUUGGGUAGAACACCGGUGGCGAAGGCGGCCACCUGGCUCGCAACUGACGCUGAGGCGCGAAAGCGUGGGGAGCAAACAGGAUUAGAAACCCUGGUAGUCC
rnacentral:rRNA from 1 species